rnacentral:rRNA from 1 species
GUGCCAGCCGCUGCGGUAAUACAUAGGUGGCAAGCGUUAUCCGGAUUUAUUGGGCGUAUAGGGUGCGUAGGCGGUUUGCCCAAGUUUGUGGUCAAAUCCCGAGGCUCAACCUCGGUUCGCCAUGAAAACUGCAUCACUAGAAUACAAGAGAGUAAACGGAAUUCCAUGUGUAGCGUGAAAUGCGUAGAUAUAUGGAAGAACACCUGUGGCGAAAGCGGUUUACUGGCUUGUUAUGACGCUGAGGCACGAAAGCGUGGGGAGCAAAUAGGAUUAGAUACCCUAGUAGUCCACGUCCGUAAACGUUGAAGUACUAAGU